UACGUAGGGUGCAAGCGUUGUCCGGAAUUAUUGGGCGUAAAAGAGCUCGUAGGCGGUUUGUUGCGUCGGCUGUGAAAUCCCCGAGGCUCAACCUCGGGUCUGCAGUCGAUACGAGCAAACUAGAGUGUUGCAGGGGGAGACUGGAAUUCCUGGUGUAGCGGUGAAAUGCGCAGAUAUCAGGAGGAACACCGGUGGCGAAGGCGGGUCUCUGGGCAACAACUGACGCUGGAGGAGCGAAAAGCGUGGGGGAGCGAAACAGG
rnacentral:rRNA from 1 species